AUUGAACGCUGGCGGCAUGCCUUACACAUGCAAGUCGAACGGUAACAGGUCUUCGGAUGCUGACGAGUGGCGAACGGGUGAGUAAUACAUCGGAACGUGCCUAGUAGUGGGGGAUAACUACUCGAAAGAGUGGCUAAUACCGCAUGAGAUCUACGGAUGAAAGCAGGGGAUCGCAAGACCUUGAGCUACUAGAGCGGCCGAUGGCAGAUUAGGUAGUUGGUGGGAUAAAAGCUUACCAAGCCGACGAUCUGUAGCUGGUCUGAGAGGACGAUCAGCCACACUGGGACUGAGACACGGCCCAGACUCCUACGGGAGGCAGCAGUGGGGAAUUUUGGACAAUGGGCGAAAGCCUGAUUCAGCAAUGCCGCGUGCAGGAUGAAGGCCUUCGGGUUGUAAACUGCUUUUGUACGGAACGAAAAGCCCCGAGUUAAUACCCUGGGGUCAUGACGGUACCGUAAGAAUAAGCACCGGCUAACUACGUGCCAGCCGCCGCCGUAA
rnacentral:rRNA from 1 species